UCCAUGGCCUCUCACAGUGCCAAGCCUCAGCUGCUCUGCUCAACUCCUUCAUGCCUUCAAAACCAGUACCACCUGGGUGACCCUUACACAUUACCAAGUCCAGCCACAGCACAAGGUACAACUUUGGCUAUAUCUGGAACACAGCCACUGUGCUCUCAGAAAACACUUCCCAGAAGAUGUCACCUCAAUGAUGCUGGUCUCUUCUUAAUCACCGCUAAUUUCUUAGCUCCAGCUAACCAGCAUCAAUAGUCCCAGUAAUGCAAAGUUUUUUGCUUUAGUAGUUCUGGUAUCUUGUUAAUCACAGCUUAUUCUUCAGCCCCAACUAACCAGAACUACAGAAUCUUCACAAUCAAAACAGCAAUGGCCCUGAAAAGAGUCUUUAAUUUUCCCUCUGAAAUUUCACAAACCAGACCUCCAUCUUCUGCAGUGUUCUCAACAUUAUCUUCCAAGCUCCUACACAACAUCUGACAGAGCUUUUAACAACGGAUGGAUCUUCAAGCCCAAAGUUCCAAAGUCCUUCCACAGUCCUCCCCAAAACAUGGUCAGGUUGUCACAGGAAUACCCCACUUCUGGUACCAACUUCUGUAUUAGUCAGGGUUCUCUA
rnacentral:lncRNA from 1 species